GAUGAACGCUGGCGGCGUGCCUAAUACAUGCAAGUCGAGCUAACAGACGAGGAGCUUGCUCCUCUGACGUUAGCGGCGGACGGGUGAGUAACACGUGGAUAACCUACCUAUAAGACUGGGAUAACUUCGGGAAACCGGAGCUAAUACCGGAUAAUAUAUUGAACCGCAUGGUUCAAUAGUGAAAGACGGUUUUGCUGUCACUUAUAGAUGGAUCCGCGCCGCAUUAGCUAGUUGGUAAGGUAACGGCUUACCAAGGCAACGAUGCGUAGCCGACCUGAGAGGGUGAUCGGCCACACUGGAACUGAGACACGGUCCAGACUCCUACGGGAGGCAGCAGUAGGGAAUCUUCCGCAAAGGGCGAAAGCCUGACGGAGCAACGCCGCGUGAGUGAUGAAGGUCUUCGGAUCGUAAAACUCUGUUAUUAGGGAAGAACAAAUGUGUAAGUAACUAUGCACGUCUUGACGGUACCUAAUCAGAAAGCCACGGCUAACUACGUG
rnacentral:rRNA from 1 species